GUGAAAGACUUGCCUAUUGAUUGACCCGUCUCCAUCAAUAUAGCGAGUCCAUAGCAUUUCCCCUCUUCCCAAUAGCAUAAGCACGAACCUUCUUGUAGUGUCUAUCCAGCAAAAGAAGAGAAAACAUAUGCUAUAAUGGGGUGCUUCAGGUGAUGGGAACAUCGAUGAAUAGGAGGAGCUUGCUUCAGGCCAAGGGUGGCUGCCCUGUGAGCUUUGAGAACCAGAACUACACGACCAUCACCAGCAAGUGCAAAUCGCCAUGGCCUGCCGACCUCUGCUGCCCAGCUCUGAACGAGUUCGCAUGCAAUUUCAGCCAAUAUAUCAACGACGAAAGCACCAACUGCGCAGAAUCGAUGUGGGCCUACCUCAACGCCCAUGGAAACUAUCCAGCUGGCCUGUUUUCAAACGAGUGCGCAGUGCUUGACUGCAACGGUAACAAUAGCACCAUUAGUACUAACCAAACUGCUAAUGGAAGCGGCACCCGAGGGGCUAAAGGAAUAACAGAGAUGUACUCACUUGUGACGACCUUAAUUGUAUCUGGAUUCCCGGUGUUAUUGUUCUACUGAAUGAAGUACUCCCUCCGUUUCACAAUGUAAGUCAUUCUAGCAUUUCCCACAUUCAUAUUGAUGCUAAUGAAUCUAUAUAAAUAUAGAAUGACUUACAUUGUGAAACGGAGGAAGUAAGAAAAGAUGCACUAUCACACAGAAUGGACAUGUUACAGUUGUGGUAAUAAGUUGCGUUUCAGCAUAUAUAUACAUUACGAGAUAAGAGUACCCCCAGAUUUCCUUUUUUUUUUCUUCUUAAUUUUCUUUCAUGGCAUUUACACUCAUUCAAUACAUGUGGAUAUUUUUUUUCUUCUUUUGAGCAAUAAUGCUUCUCUUUACUCUUGU
rnacentral:lncRNA from 1 species